CAACAAGCAAAAACGUUUUACUUGAGUUAUUUCUAUUCAUCAUAUGUACAUAUUAUUGUAAUUUGUAGAUUAUAUUGAAAAUAAAAUCUAUAAUUUUAAAUCAAGAUUCAAGAUAUGUGAAAUUGUUUUCAUUGUUGAGCAUUCGGUUGAAGAUGGGACGAACAAUGUGAUAACCAUACGAGUCUUCUUAGAAGACCAACAAAUAAACGACUCAACAACCAAACACAACCAUAAUAAAACCAAAGCAACACUCGAGGAAAAAAAAUUGAAAUAAAGAAGCAAAUAAAAAUACGGGCAAGUUAAAUAAGCGGAAUAGGUAAGGUAAAAAAAAAAAAAAAAACAUCCUAAACAAUAAUAAACCCUCGGGAUAGCGAAUAGUAG